rnacentral:rRNA from 1 species
AAUCAACGCUGGCGGCGUGCCUAACACAUGCAAGUCGAACGCGAAAGGGGCUUCGGUCCUGAGUAGAGUGGCGGACGGGUGAGUAACACGUGGAUGACCUGCCCUCGAGUGGGGGAUAACUCUUCGAAAGGGGAGCUAAGACCGCAUGAGCUCCCGGGGGCGACUCUGGGAGGAAAGCCUGAGGGUGCUGGAGGAGGGGUCCGCGACCGAUUAGCUGGUUGGUGGGGUAAGGGCCUACCAAGGCGACGAUCGGUAGCCGGUCUGAGAGGACGGACGGCCACACUGGAACUGAGAGACGGUCCAGACUCCUACGGGAGGCAGCAGUGGGGAAUUUUGCGCAAUGGGCGCAAGCCUGACGCAGCAACGCCGCGUGGAGGAUGAAGGUUUUCGGAUUGUAAACUCCUGUCCCGGGGAAGAAGGCAGUGACGGUACCCUGGGAGGAAGCCCCGGCUAACUCCGUG